rnacentral:misc_RNA from 1 species
GAUGAAGAACACAGCGAAAUGCGAUAAGUAAUGUGAAUUGCAGAAUUCAGUGAAUCAUCGAAUCUUUGAACGCACAUUGCGCCCGCUAGUAUUCUGGCGGGCAUGCCUGUUCGAGCGUCAUUUCAACCAUCAAGCCCCUUAGCUUGUGUUAGGGACCUGCGGUUGCCGCAGCCCCCGAAAUGCAGUGGCGGGCUCGUUGUCACACCGAGCGCAGUAGCACAUCUCGCUCAGGGCGUGCGGCGGGCUCCUGCCGUGAAACCCCCCACUGUAACCCCAAAGGUUGACCUCGGAUCAGGUAGGAAUACCCGCUGAACUUAAGCAUAUCAAUAAGCGGAGGA